rnacentral:rRNA from 1 species
AGUGAACGCUGGCGGUAGGCCUAACACAUGCAAGUCGAACGGCAGCACAGUAAGAGCUUGCUCUUACGGGUGGCGAGUGGCGGACGGGUGAGGAAUACAUCGGAAUCUACUUUUUCGUGGGGGAUAACGUAGGGAAACUUACGCUAAUACCGCAUACGACCUACGGGUGAAAGCAGGGGAUCUUCGGACCUUGCGCGAUUGAAUGAGCCGAUGUCGGAUUAGCUAGUUGGCGGGGUAAAGGCCCACCAAGGCGACGAUCCGUAGCUGGUCUGAGAGGAUGAUCAGCCAACCUGGACCUGAGCACCGGCCCAACUCCCACGGGGAGGCGGCGGUGGGGAUUUUUGGCCAUUGGGCCAAACCCUGUCCCAGCCAUCCCGCGUGGUUGAAGAAGGCCUUCGGUUUGUAAAGCCCUUUUGUUGGGAAAGAAAAGCAGAAGGUUAAUCCCCCGCUGUCUGACGGUACCCAAAGAAUAAGCACCGGCUAACUUCGUG